GACGAACGCUGGCGGCGUGCUUAACACAUGCAAGUCGAACGGAAAGGCCCUGCUUUUGUGGGAUGCUCGAGUGGCGAACGGGUGAGUAACACGUGAGUAACCUGCCCUUGACCUUGGGAUAACUUCAGGAAACUGGGGCUAAUACCGGAUAGGAGCUCCUGCUGCAUGGUGGGGGUUGGAAAGUUUCGGCGGUUGGGGAUGGACUCGCGGCUUAUCAGCUUGUUGGUGGGGUAGUGGCUUACCAAGGCUUUGACGGGUAGCCGGCCUGAGAGGGUGACCGGCCACAUUGGGACUGAGAUACGGCCCAGACUCCUACGGGAGGCAGCAGUGGGGAAUAUUGCACAAUGGGCGGAAGCCUGAUGCAGCAACGCCGCGUGCGGGAUGACGGCCUUCGGGUUGUAAACCGCUUUCGCCUGUGACGAAGCGUGAGUGACGGUAAUGGGUAAAGAAGCACCGGCUAACUACGUG
rnacentral:rRNA from 1 species